AUCGCUUCUUGGCCUUUUGGCUAAGAUCAAGUGUAGUAUCUGUUCUUAUCAGUUUAAUUUUCAAUUUUCAAUUCAAUUUAUUCACAGAGGUGGUAUUUCUCACUACUC
rnacentral:snRNA from 1 species